AUGUCCGUGGCAGAGCAGAGAGGAGGGAAAGGCUGGCCGAGCCGUGCCCUCACCCCGCCAGUCCAGCCGCCAGCUUCUUGGAGGACCUCUGAGAGAACAUUUGUUUGGGCUGCCAAGUUAAAUCUUCCUCCCUCAUGUCAGGGCAUUGGAAAAGCAGUCAGGGGGAGAGGAGAAGGGGGAGAGCGCGCGGGGGAAGGAGCAGCGGGAGGGAGGGAGGGAGGCAGGCAGGCGGGCAGGCUCAGAGCCCCAGUUACUCGGACACAGCCAUCCCAGGAAGCUGGCGGCUCCCGGGCAGACGCAACGGGAGCUCCGGGCACCGAAGCAGGGACCCAGUCGCCAGGCCUCCCCCGGUCAGGCAAGGGUACCAAGCACCCUUGGCCCACCCGAGAGCUCUCGCUCAGUGACCUGCUGGAGGGGCGAGGUGGGAAGGGAAGGCAGAGGAGGAAAAAGUUUACUGCAGGUAGAGGGGUAGGGCAAGGCGGCAGUGCCGACGGGCUGUCCCCCGGGGAGGGGUGGGGGGCCCCGGCUGGGUGCCCUGGCGCGCUCCCGUACGCCCGCCCUCCCGCCCGUGUUGUUUACAUUCCUGGAGUGUCUUUUAAACCCCGGGCAGAGGCCGGCUCCCGGCCUUCUCCGGCGGCUCCGGGGCAGUCUCCCGUGAAAAUCUGCUGGCGCACAAUGGCCGGGAAGGCGGCCGCUCCUCGCCCGCGCCCCCACCGCUCCAGGGCGGGGAGCCUGCCCUCCGCACCGCGUCCUCUCCCCGCCCGGCCGGCUUCCUGGACAGAUGUCCCCGGCGAGGGGGCGACGCGCGCCCGCUGCCCGCGCCCUAGACGCGGAGGCCGCGCUCCCCACUGUUUUUUUCCCAGCCCAGACGCCAGGAAUGUGAAACAAGCUUCCAGAGCCCGCCUCCCCCCAGACCCCGGCUCCAGCCCUGGCCCCCCAACCGCCGCCCCGGCCGGCCUCCCACUCCCUCGGGGCCACCGCCGCCGGAGACUAAGAGGAAGAAAGAACACCGGGAAAUUACUUUCGUAUUUGCAACGCGCGCGCGCGCACACACACGCACAUCUUCCCCCUGGGCUCCCCUCCUGGCCGGGGCAGCCCCGUCCAGGCGUUGGCCUGAGCGCCCCUCGGGCUUCCGAAGCCCUAGCAGAAGCCCUUACACACACCCCUCCGCGUUCCUCGUUCGUACCGCGCGCCGCCCUUCCCCGGGCAAUUCCCACACAAACAACUUAA
rnacentral:lncRNA from 13 species